rnacentral:rRNA from 1 species
UACGUAGGGACCAAGCGUUGUUCGGAUUUACUGGGCGUAAAGGGCGCGUAGGCGGCUUGACAAGUCACUUGUGAAAUCUCUGGGCUUAACCCAGAACGGCCAAGUGAAACUGUCGAGCUAGAGUGUAGAAGGGGCAAUCGGAAUUCUUGGUGUAGCGGUGAAAUGCGUAGAUAUCAAGAGGAACACCUGAGGUGAAGACGGGUUGCUGGUCUAACACUGACGCUGAGGCGCGAAAGCCAGGGGAGCAAACGGGG